UCCAUCUCGCUGUUUUAAACUCAUGUUCGAUUCGAAAUAAGCUCGUAUAAUAAACGAGGCAAAUAUAAAAUUAAAUUAACGAGUCGAACACGCCGCUGAUGUCAGUUUGCUCGUAUUCAGCUCGAUACAGCUGAUUAAUAGAUAAGUCAAACACGAAUUAAAUAUUUUAACGAAUCAACUCGUGUUUCGGCUUCUUGACGGCCCCAUAUGCAUUUUGUGAGUACGGGUCUCGUGUAUGGUACGAUUAGCCAAGCGGGUUUAGAAGCUGUGCGGAUGUUUGAAUCUCUUAUUCGGAACUCGAUUGGUGGGCAUGACGAGCUCGGUAGCUAGAAACUGCUGUGAGCUCGCUUACGGUGCAAGCGUGUAAUUUUCUUAUCACAUGUAAUUUCGCACAUAACACUUGACGCAAAAUGUCUUUGUCAAAUUAUAUAGCUGAAUUAUUCACUUAUACAGUAAAAUACCACGUCUGUGAAAAUUGACUUGUCAAAGAUUUU
rnacentral:lncRNA from 1 species